AGCGAACGCUGGCGGCAGGCUUAACACAUGCAAGUCGAACGGGCAUAGCAAUAUGUCAGUGGCAGACGGGUGAGUAACGCGUGGGAACGUACCUUUUGGUUCGGAACAACACAGGGAAACUUGUGCUAAUACCGGAUAAGCCCUUACGGGGAAAGAUUUAUCGCCGAAAGAUCGGCCCGCGUCUGAUUAGCUAGUUGGUAGGGUAAUGGCCUACCAAGGCGACGAUCAGUAGCUGGUCUGAGAGGAUGAUCAGCCACAUUGAGACUGAGACACGGCCCAAACUCCUACGGGAGGCAGCAGUGGGGAAUAUUGGACAAUGGGCGAAAGCCUGAUCCAGCCAUGCCGCGUGAGUGAUGAAGGCCCUAGGGUUGUAAAGCUCUUUUGUGCGGGAAGAUAAUGACGGUACCGCAAGAAUAAGCCCCGGCUAACUUCGUG
rnacentral:rRNA from 1 species